AUUGAACGCUGGCGGCAGGCCUAACACAUGCAAGUCGAACGAGUGGCGGACGGGUGAGUAAUGUCUGGGAAACUGCCCGAUGGAGGGGGAUAACUACUGGAAACGGUAGCUAAUACCGCAUACCAUCGGAUGUGCCCAGAUGGGAUUAGCUAGUAGGUGGGGUAACGGCUCACCUAGGCGACGAUCCCUAGCUGGUCUGAGAGGAUGUCCAGCAACAAGGGAACGGAGACACGGUCCGGACUCCAACGGGAGGCAGCAGGGGGAAAUAUGGAACAAUGGGCGCAAGCCGGAGGCAGCCAUGCCGCGUGUAUGAAGAAGGCCUUCGGGUUGUAAAGUACUUUCAGCGAGGAGGCGUUACUCGCAGAAGAAGCACAGGCUAACGCCGUGCCAGCAGCCGCGGUAAUUC
rnacentral:rRNA from 1 species